rnacentral:rRNA from 1 species
UGUAUAAUGGACCGACGAGUUAAUUUUAUUAGCAAGCUUAAAAAAUAGUAGGCGUUAAUAAUAUGUAAAAAGUUAAUAGAAUUAGACCCGAAACUUUGUGAUCUAACUAUGAACAAGCGAUAGGCUGAACCGGUAAAUGUUGCAAAAUUUUCGGAUGAUUUGUGGUUAGGGGUGAAAGAUUUAUCAAACAAAGAGAUAGCUGGUUUUCCGCGAAAAUUAUUUAAGUAAUGCGUUUAAAUAAAAAAAAAAGACAAUUAGUUUUAAACUGUCGAUUGGUAGGCACUUAAAAAAUUUAAUAAUAUUUUUUUUUUAAAUAAACAGUUAGUCUAUCAGCGCAAAGGUUGAUAGACGAGAGGGACACAGCCCAGAUUAUUUAUUAAGGUUCAAAAGUAUUUAUUAAUACAAAAGAUAAAAAUUUAUAAAAUUAAAAAGGUCGGCGUGGAGGCUGUCAUCCUUUCAAAAAAGCGUCACAGCUUAUUUAAUAAAAAUAAAUUUUUAUUAACAAUUUUGAUAUAAAUAAAUCACCGAAAUAAUAAAUUAAUGGUAGCGGAAUGUUUUGUAUAUCAUAAAAGUAAUAUUGAAAAAUAUUAUGGAGAUAUCAAAAGUAAGUAUGUCGGUAUUAGUAAUCAUAUAAUGUUGAAUCAUUGUUGUUGAAUGUCUAAGAGUUUU